UACAGAGGCCCCAAGCGUUACUGAGAAUCACUGGGCUUAAAGGGCGCGUAGGCGGUCGACCAAGUCAGGGGUGAAAUCCCGCAGCUUAACUGCGGAAGUGCCUUUGAUACUGGUCGUCUGGAGGGAGAUAGGGGUGUGUGGAACUUCCAGUGGAGCGGUGAAAUGCGUUGAUAUUGGAAGGAACGCCGGAGGCGAAAGCGACGCACUGGAUCUCUUCUGACGCUGAGGCGCGAAAGCUAGGGGAGCAAACGGG
rnacentral:rRNA from 1 species